rnacentral:lncRNA from 1 species
GAAUUCCUAUGGGUAAUGUCAACCAGAAGUGAGAGAUUAGAGUACUACAAAAACUAAAGCAGUAUGUAGUAAAUACUUAAAUAGAAUACUGGAGGGAGAUAUAUUUGUUAGCUUAUUCCUUUCUGCCUCGGACACCUCAGAUGAAGUAUCCUUAAAGUCUCUUCCUGUUGCCUUUCAUGUCUAAAUCAGACUUCCCUAAAGAGCCAGAACAGCUGUUGAAGCUGUUCAUUGAAGGGCUGAGCUUUGAAACAACUGAGAGUCUGAGAAGCCAUUUUUGAGCAAUGGGGAAGAUUCAUGGACUGUAUGGUAAUGAGAGACCCAAAUACCAAGUGCUCCAGGGGCUUUGGGUUUUUCACUUAAACACCACUAUGGAGGAAGUGGAUGCAGCCAUGCAUGCAAGACCACACAAGGUGGAUGGAAGAGUUGUGGAACCAGAGAGCUGUCUCAAUAGAAGAUUCUCAAAGACCAGGGGCCCACUUAACUGUGGAGAAGAUCUUUGUUGGUACCAUUAAAGACCCUGAAUCCACAUUACCUACAAUAUUAUUUUGAACAGUUCGGAAAAAUUGAAGUUAUUGAAAUCAUGACUGACCAAGGCAGUGGAAAGAAAAGGGGCUUUGUGUGGGGAGCCACAAAGAAUGACCGUACCCUUCUAGUCCUGAUGCCUCAGAUUCUGACCAACCAUUGCAUUCGCUCUGGUUAGGGCAGAGUCUAGCUUGGAUAGUAAGGGAUCUUUUUUGUGGGAUGUGCCCACAGGGUUGAGUUACACUCACCUGUUCCCUUGUAUCCCUGCCCCUUCUCGCCUUUUUUGGAUAGAACUUUCUAAAGAACAAGAGUUCCCCCAAUAAAAGCUCACUUACAUGCUCACUCUCUCUUGCCUGCCUCUCGUGACUUUCUCUUGCUCUCUCUCUUGGGAAGCCUGAGGCCGAAAGUGGAGAAGCUGUCCUGAAGCUUGUGCAAAGGUAAAUUGUGUCUGUGUUUUGUUUGGUGUCCCUGCAGAUUCACACCAGCCAUCUUAAGUUUAACUGCUGCAUAGGUCGGGGCGGCAGCUUAGCUUUGUAAUUUUUGACAAACAAGACUGUGUGUCAUUCAGAAAUACCAUACUGUGGGAGUGGCUAUAGCUCAGUGGCAGAGCACUUGCCUAGUGUAGGUGAGGCACUGGGUUCAAUCCACAGCACCACAUUAAAUAAAUGAAGACAUGCUUUCCAUCUAUAAGUACAAAAAAUAAAUGAUAAAGAAAUACCAUACUGUGAAUGGCCACAACUGUGAAGUAACAAGAGCCCCAUCAAAGCAAGAGAUGGCUAAUGCUUCAUUAAGCCAAAGAGGUCGAAGCAGUUCUGGAAACUUUGGAGCUGGUUUUGGAGGAAAUGACAAUUUUGGUUAUGGAGGGAACUUCAGUGGCCAUGGUGGGUGUGGGAACUUUGGAGGAAGAAGCUCUGGACCUUAUGGUGGUGGAGACCAAUAUUUUGCUAAACCGUGAAACCAAGGUGGCUAUGAUGGUUGCAGCAGCAGCAGUAGCUAUGGCAGUGACAGAAGGUUUUAAUACUGCCUGAAAACAAAGCUUAGCAGGAGAGGAGAGCCAGAGAAGUGACAGGGAAGCUAUAGUUUACAAUAGAUUUGUAAACUCAGCCAAGCACAGUGAUGGCAGGACCUAGCUGCUACAAAGAAGAUAAGAUUUAGACAAUACUCAUGUGUAUGGGCAAAAAAACCUCAAGGACUAUAUUUGUG